rnacentral:rRNA from 1 species
GAUGAACGCUAGCGGGAGGCCUAACACGUGCAAGUCGAACGGGAUUGGGAGCUUGCUCCCAUGAGAGUGGCGCACGGGUGAGUAACGCGUAUGCAACCUACCUUUAACUGAGGGAUAGCCCAUAGAAAUGUGGAUUAAUACCUCAUAGUUCUUUUGGUCCGCAUGGACUGAUAGAUAAAGCUCCGGCGGUUAAAGAUGGGCAUGCGUGACAUUAGCUAGUUGGUAAGGUAACGGCUUACCAAGGCUACGAUGUCUAGGGGUUCUGAGAGGAUGAUCCCCCACACUGGUACUGAGACACGGACCAGACUCCUACGGGAGGCAGCAGUGAGGAAUAUUGGUCAAUGGGCGCAAGCCUGAACCAGCCAUCCCGCGUGAAGGAUGAAGGUCCUAUGGAUUGUAAACUUCUUUUAUACACCAAGAAAAACUCCCACGUGUGGGAGCCCGACGGUAGUGUAUGAAUAAGCAUCGGCUAACUCCGUGCCAGCAGCCGCGGUAAUACGGAGGAUGCAAGCGUUAUCCGGAUUCAUUGGGUUUAAAGGGUGCGUAGGCGGCUUUUUAAGUCAGUGGUGAAAUCUUGCCGCUUAACGGUAAAAUUGCCAUUGAUACUGAAAAGCUUGAGUACAUUUGAGGUAAGCGGAAUGUGUAGUGUAGCGGUGAAAUGCUUAGAUAUUACACAGAACACCGAUUGCGAAGGCAGCUUACUAAACUGUAACUGACGCUGAUGCACGAAAGCGUGGGGAGCGAACAGGAUUAGAUACCCUGGUAGUCCACGCCGUAAACGAUGUUCACUCGCUGUUUGCGAUACACAGCGAGCGGCCAAGCGAAAGCAUUAAGUGAACCACCUGGGGAGUACGAUCGCAAGGUUGAAAC